rnacentral:rRNA from 1 species
GAACGCUGGCGGCAUGCCUUACACAUGCAAGUCGAACGGCAGCACGGGAGCAAUCCUGGUGGCGAGUGGCGAACGGGUGAGUAAUAUAUCGGAACGUGCCCAGUCGUGGGGGAUAACGCAGCGAAAGCUACGCUAAUACCGCAUACGAUCUACGGAUGAAAGCGGGGGAUCGCAAGACCUCGCGCGAUUGGAGCGGCCGAUAUCAGAUUAGGUAGUUGGUGGGGUAAAGGCUCACCAAGCCAACGAUCUGUAGCUGGUCUGAGAGGACGACCAGCCACACUGGAACUGAGACACGGUCCAGACUCCUACGGGAGGCAGCAGUGGGGAAUUUUGGACAAUGGACGCAAGUCUGAUCCAGCCAUUCCGCGUGCAGGAUGAAGGCCCUCGGGUUGUAAACUGCUUUUGUACGGAACGAAAAGGUUUCUAUUAAUACUAGGAGCUCAUGACGGUACCGUAAGAAUAAGCACCGGCUAACUACGUG